AGUUAACCAAGGAGUCUCAAGUAGGACGAAACGCGCGUCCUAGAU
rnacentral:hammerhead_ribozyme from 1 species